ACGAACGCUGGCGGCGUGCCUCAUACAUGCAAGUCGAGCGAAGUUUUUCUGGUGCUUGCACCGGAAAAACUUAGCGGCGAACGGGUGAGUAACACGUAAAGAACCUGCCUCAUAGACUGGGACAACUAUUGGAGACGAUAGCUAAUACCGGAUAAUAGCAUUAACUGCAUGGUUGAUGUUUAAAAGUUGGUUUUGCUAACACUAUGAGAUGGCUUUGCGGUGCAUUAGCUAGUUGGUGGGGUAAAGGCCUACCAAGGCGACGAUGCAUAGCCGACCUGAGAGGGUGAUCGGCCACACUGGGACUGAGACACGGCCCAGACUCCUACGGGAGGCAGCAGUAGGGAAUCUUCCGCAAUGGGCGAAAGCCUGACGGAGCAACGCCGCGUGAGUGAAGAAGGAUUUCGGUUCGUAAAGCUCUGUUGUUAGGGAAGAAUGAGUGUGUAGUAACUAUACACAGUAGAGACGGUACCUAACCAGAAAGCCACGGCUAACUACGUG
rnacentral:rRNA from 1 species